AAAAGAACUCUGAAUAGAGAGUUAAAUAGUACGUGAAACUGCUUAGAGGUUAAGCCCGAUGAACCUGAAUAUCCAUUAUAAAGAAUUCAUCAUCAAUAUUAUUAUAUAUAAAAAAUAUAAAAAUAAUGGUGUGCAUUUUCUUUAUAUAAGGACAUUGUAAUUUAUUAACAUAAUUAAUUUAUUAUAAGAUCAAUGGCAAGAGUUUAUUGUAAUUAUUUUACUUCGGUAAUUUAUAUUUAAUAAAUGCUAUUGAUUUAAUAAAGUGUUGAUAAAUUAAAUCAUAUGUAUAAUGCAUAAAUUUCAUUUAUGAAAUUUUAUAAUUUUUUUAAAAUUAUAAGCAUUUAUACGAUUAACAAUGCGAAAGAUUCAGGAUACCUUCGGGAC
rnacentral:rRNA from 1 species